rnacentral:lncRNA from 1 species
UUAAUUGGAAUUGGUGAACCCUUGAUGAUGUGUGGCUUUAGUGACUUGUAAAUGAAUAUGUUGAUCUAUUGAUGAUGAUAAAUGAUGAUUUAUCAUGAGUAGAAUUAUUCUAAAGACGAUGAUUUAGAAUAUUUGGAUUAUAUUAUCCAUAUUAGGUUGAUGUUAUAGUUGAGAUAAAACCAUAUGUUUGGUAUAUGCACAUUUCAUGCAUUCAUAAGUUGUGUAUAUUGAUGAGUAUCCUAGAGACGAUGAUCUAGUUUACUGUUAUGUUAGAGACGAUGAUCUAGAAUGUUUUAGAGACGAUGAUCUAAAACACUUGGGUUAAGUUAUCCAAGAUUAUGAUGAAUUGGUACCACAUACAUAUAGAUAUGUCUANNNNNNNNNNNNNNNNNNNNNNNNNNNNNNNNNNNNNNNNNNNNNNNNNNNNNAGAAUGCAUUAGGAAUUAUGUGACGUUCUUAAUUGUUAAUUAAAUGGUACUUGACAUUGUAUAUUUGAUUUAUUUGUUCGAGAGUUUUUACUUCUCAAAUGUGAUUAGUAAUUGAUAAAAGAAUAUGUUUAAGUAUGUCUUAUACAUGUUUGCUUAUGUCUGAUACAUGUCUGAGUAUGUCCGAUACAUGCCUGUAUUUGUUCAAUAUGUAUAUGAGAUGUCUGAGUUGGAUUUACUCAGUUGCUUUUAUUUUAUUAAGUGUCUGAUAUGCGUUAUAUUCAGUCUCUGAUAAUAAUUGUGUUAUCUAACCCUCUGUUUUGUGUUUGUGCUGAACCGUUGGAGGUUCAGGUUCUCAGGUUGUAUAUUUGUUGGUGUUCGAGUUGUUGGUGAAAGCUCCGCUCUGAUUGUGACACGGGGAAGGGUUCAUAGAGUCUUUAUUUGUUGUUUUAUUUAUUUAAAUUAAAGGUGUAUCUUUUAUAAAAGAAUCUUGUAUAAGUGAUGAUUACUAAUUUUCAAUGAAGAAUGUAACACCUUGAACCAAUUUUUUUUUUUUUAAUUCAUUUUGACUCCGAGUCUUGAAAGUUAUAUUUUUAUCCGCUGCGUAGUUUUGAAAAAGCAUUCUUUUAUUAAGAUAAAUUGAAUAUUGGGUUAGGGUGGUUACAAAGUUGGUAUCAGAGCCCCGUUGUCUUCGGACUAUGUGAGUUAUGUGUCAGUCAGAGUAGGUCUGUGCAGUCAGACCGAGUGAGCUUGUUGUCAGUCGUGUUUGUGUAACUAUUAUGAUUUUUUGUGAAUUAAUUUUUGUAGUUACACUUGCACAUUAGUCACUAAUUAAUUGUUUUGCGAAUGUGUAACUAGUUUCAUGAAUUUUGUUGGUAGUUCUUUUAUUAGCAUGUUGUUUUAUUUGAUUCAUGAGACUUGUGUUUUUAAUUGGUAUUGACUUUAGAAUUUAUAAUUCUUACUUCAUGAUUGAAUACUAAAAUGAUGAUAGUUUAUGUGAUAACUUGUUAAUACUUGAAUG